GACGAACGCUGGCGGCGUGCUUAACACAUGCAAGUCGAACGGUGAAGGGACCGGUUUUUGCUGGUUCUGGAUGAGUGGCGAACGGGUGAGUAACACGUGAGUAACCUGCCCCCUUCUUCUGGAUAACCGCAUGAAAGUGUGGCUAAUACUGGAUAUUCUGCGCCUGCUGCAUGGUGGGUGUGGGAAAGAUAUUGUUUCGGUGGGGGAUGGGCUCGCGGCCUAUCGGCUUGUUGGUGGGGUGAUGGCCUACGAGGGCGAUGCCGGGUAGCCGGCCUGAGAGGGUGGACGGUCACACUGGGACUGAGACCCAAACCAGACUCGUACGGGAGGCAGCAGAGGAUAAUAUUGCACAAUGGGCGCAAGAGUGAAGCAGCGAGGCCCAGUGAGGGAUAGACGCCUGCGAGUUGUAAACCUCUUUCGUGAGUGAAGCAAGCGUGUACCAGCUGUGGGUGGGUGGACGGUAACUGGAGAAGAAGCGCCGGCUAACUACGUG
rnacentral:rRNA from 1 species